rfam:Coccomyxa sp. C-169 plastid, complete genome.
GCGGGCGUAGCCAAGUGGUAAGGCGCUGGACUGUGACUCCAUUAUUCGCGGGUUCAAAUCCCGUCGUUCGCC